CCCACUAACAUGCUCUACAAUGGGAUAGGAUCCCACGCCUCAUUAAUGAAUAUAUAGGCUCUCCUACCCAACUCGUCCUUGUCGAGCAGAGUUGUAACAUGUGCCUUAAAAUUUCAGCACGAACUAAAUCCAAAAGCUUGAUGUUGGCACAUGGCUAAUCAGGAAGGA
rnacentral:ribozyme from 1 species